AUGCAUGACAGAUAUUACUAUGGUGUACCUGUUGGUGGGGCAUCAGUGUAUCUAGUUCAUGCGAAAGCAAACUGAUAUAUGGAGUCAUCAGGGCUGCCAGUUGUUAAGUACAAACUGAGCGGUAGUAUAUUACUCCUACAUUU